GACGAACGCUGGCGGCGUGCUUAACACAUGCAAGUCGAACGGAAAGGCCCUGCUUUUGUGGGGUGCUCGAGUGGCGAACGGGUGAGUAACACGUGAGUAACCUGCCCUUGACUUUGGGAUAACUUCAGGAAACUGGGGCUAAUACCGGAUAGGAGCUCCUGCUGCAUGGGGGGGGUUGGAAAGUUUCGGCGGUUGGGGAUGGACUCGCGGCUUAUCAGCUUGUUGGGGGGGUAGUGGCUUACCAAGGCUUUGACGGGUAGCCGGCCUGAGAGGGUGACCGGCCACCUUGGGACUGAGAUACGGCCCAGACUCCUACGGGAGGCAGCAGUGGGGAAUCUUGCACAAUGGGCGGAAGCCUGAUGCAGCAACGCCGCGUGCGGGAUGCCGGCCUUCGGGUUGUAAACCGCUUUCGCCUGUGACGAAGCGUGAGUGACGGUAAUGGGUAAAGAAGCACCGGCUAACUACGUG
rnacentral:rRNA from 1 species